rnacentral:rRNA from 1 species
GAGCGUUGUUCGGAAGUUAUUGGGCGUAAAGGGGCGCGUAGGCGGUCCUGUAAGCCCGGCGUGAAAACCCUGGAGCUCAACUCCGGGCCUGCGCUGGGAACUGCGGGACUAGAGUCAUGGAAGGGAAGUUGGAAUUCCAGGUGUAGGGGUGAAAUCUGUAGAUAUCUGGAAGAACACCGGUGGCGAAGGCGAACUUCUGGCCAAUGACUGACGCUGAGGCGCGAAAGUGCGGGGAGC